AGAACGUCCGGCGCUACGGCCGCGUCUUCUCUGAUGCUGUUCAUGAGCUGCUGCCCCUUUUUGGGUCUGCCGAGGCCACCCCCCGGGACCCUCUGGACGUUUACCUGGAGCAUCGGCUGCUGCUGGAGCAGCGGGGCCGGGCCGGGGGAGCCCCCAGACCCCCCCAAAAUCAGUUCCCGCCGGAGCUGCUGCGGAGAUUUGAGCUGUAUUUCCGUGCCCCCUCCUCCUGGAAGCCGCUG